GUCCUUACUUCAGCAGCACAAAUAAUAAAAUUAGAAUGAUCCAGAGAAGACUAGCCCAGCAUCUGUGCAAGGACAUGCAAAUUCAUGAAGUGUUCCACAUAUUU